AGAGUUUGAUCCUGGCUCAGGACGAACGUUGGCGGUGCGCUUAAUGCAUGCAAGUCGAGGGAGAACCUUUCGAUCCGUAAGGACCGGAUGGGGAAACCGGCGAACGGGUGCGUAACACGUGAGGAACCUGCCCCGAAGACCGGGAUAGCCCGAGGAAACUCGGAUUAAUACCGGAUACCCUCUUUGGACCACAUGGUCUGCUGAGGAAAUGGUCCGCCGCUUCGGGAUGGCCUCGCGGCCUAUCAGCUUGUUGGUGAGGUAACGGCUCACCAAGGCAAAGACGGGUAGCUGGUCUGAGAGGACGAUCAGCCACACUGGGACUGAGACACGGCCCAGACUCCUACGGGAGGCAGCAGCAGGGAAUAUUGCACAAUGGGCGAAAGCCUGAUGCAGCGACACCGCGUGCGGGAUGAAGGCCCUCGGGUUGUAAACCGCUUUCAGGAGGGACGAAAAUGACGGUACCUCCAGAAGAAGGCCCGGCCAACUACGUGCCAGCAGCCGCGGUAAUACGUAGGGGCCAAACGUUGACCGGAUUUAUUGGGCGUAAAGGGCUCGUAGGCGGUUCAACAAGUCGAUCGUGAAAGCCCGGGGCUCAACCCCGGGACGCCGGUCGAAACUGUUGUGACUAGGGUCCGGUAGAGGUGAGUGGAAUUCUCGGUGUAGCGGUGGAAUGCGCAGAUAUCGAGAGGAACACCAGUU
rnacentral:rRNA from 1 species